rnacentral:misc_RNA from 1 species
GUUCAAACACCCUCGGGCUCUGCCCGGUCUUGGGCCACGCCGCCUGGCGGGCCUUAAAUACAGUGGCGACCCCCGCCCGGCCCUGAGCGUAGUACCGUCUGAGCUCAGGACUCUGCGGGCGACCGACCAGCAAUCAUGUAG